UUUGAGAGGUGGUCCAAGCGUACGUGAA
rnacentral:sRNA from 1 species